GAUGAACGCUGGCGGCGUGCUUAACACAUGCAAGUCGAACGAUGAAGCCCAGCUUGCUGGGUGGAUUAGUGGCGAACGGGUGAGUAACACGUGAGUAAACUGCCCUUAACUCUGGGAUAAGCCUGGGAAACUGGGUCUAAUAUCGGAUAGGAGCGUCCACCCCAUGGUGGGUGUUGGAAAGAUUUAUCGGUGUUGGAUGGACUCGCGGCCUAUCAGCUUGUUGGUGAGGUAAUGGCUCACCAAGGCGACGACGGGUAGCCGGCCUGAGAGGGUGACCGGCCACACUGGGACUGAGACACGGCCCAGACUCCUACGGGAGGCAGCAGUGGGGAAUAUUGCACAAUGGGCGCAAGCCUGAUGCAGCGACGCCGCGUGAGGGAUGACGGCCUUCGGGUUGUAAACCUCUUUCAGUAGGGAAGAAGCGAAAGUGACGGUACCUGCAGAAGAAGCACCGGCUAACUACGUG
rnacentral:rRNA from 1 species